AUUGAACGCUAGCGGGAUGCUUUACACAUGCAAGUCGAACGGCAGCGCGGACUUCGGUCUGGCGGCGAGUGGCGAACGGGUGAGUAAUGUAUCUGAACGUGCCCAGUAGCGGGGGAUAACUACGCGAAAGCGUAGCUAAUACCGCAUACGCCCUACGGGGGAAAGCAGGGGAUCGUAAGACCUUGGACUAUUGGAGCGGCCGAUAUCGGAUUAGCUAGUUGGUGGGGUAACGGCUCACCAAGGCGACGAUCCGUAGCUGGUGUGAGAGGACGACCAGCCACACUGGGACUGAGACACGGCCCAGACUCCUACGGGAGGCAGCAGUGGGGAAUUUUGGACAAUGGGGGCAACCCUGAUCCAGCCAUCCCGCGUGUGCGAUGAAGGCCUUCGGGUUGUAAAGCACUUUUGGCAGGAAAGAAACGUCGCGGGCUAAUACCCCGUGGAACUGACGGUACCUGCAGAAUAAGCACCGGCUAACUACGUG
rnacentral:rRNA from 1 species